rnacentral:rRNA from 1 species
CGUAGUUCGACUCGUGGCUACGAGACGACGCUGGCGGCGUGCUUAACACAUGCAAGUCGUACGAUGACCCGGCUCUUCGGAGCUGGUGAUUAGUGGCGAACGGGUGAGUAACACGUGGGUGACCUGCCCUGCACUCUGGGAUAAGCCCGGGAAACUGGGUCUAAUACUGGAUACGACCAGUGGCCGCAUGGUCUGCUGGUGGAAAGCCCUUCGGGGUGGUGUGGGAUGGGCCCGCGGCCUAUCAGCUUGUUGGUGGGGUGAUGGCCUACCAAGGCGACGACGGGUAGCCGGCCUGAGAGGGUGUCCGGCCACACUGGGACUGAGACACGGCCCAGACUCCUACGGGAGGCAGCAGUGGGGAAUCUUGCACAAUGGGCGAAAGCCUGAUGCAGCGACGCCGCGUGGGGGAUGACGGCCUUCGGGUUGUAAACCUCUUUCGGCAGGGAACAAGCCUGGGGGUUUUCUUCUGGGUGAGGGUACCUGCGGAAGAAGCACCGGCUAACUACGUG